rnacentral:rRNA from 1 species
AAAAUAGAUCCGUAACUUCGGGAUAAGGAUUGGCUCUAAGGGUUGGGCACGUUGGGCCUUGGGCGGACGCCUUGGGAGCAGGCUGCCACUAGUCGGGCAACCGACCGGCGGCGGCCAGCAUCCGAGUGUUGAUGCCCUUGGCAGGCUUCGGCCGUCCGGCGUGCGGUUAACAACCAACUUAGAACUGGUACGGACAAGGGGAA